GUAGGUGGCAAGCGUUGUCCGGAAUUAUAGGGCGUAAAGCGCGCGCAGGCGGUCCUUUAAGUCUGAUGUGAAAGCCCACGGCUCAACCGUGGAGGGUCAUUGGAAACUGGGGGACUUGAGUACAGAAGAGGAAAGCGGAAUUCCAAGUGUAGCGGUGAAAUGCGUAGAGAUUUGGAGGAACACCAGUGGCGAAGGCGGCUUUCUGGUCUGUAACUGACGCUGAGGCGCGAAAGCGUGGGGGGCAAACAGGAUUAGAUACCCUGGUAGUCCACGCCGUAAACGAUGAGUGCUAAGUGUUAGGGGGUUUCCCGCCCCCCUUAGUGCUGCAGCUAACGCAUUAAGCACUCCGCCUGGGGGAGUACGGCCGCAAGGCUG
rnacentral:rRNA from 1 species